UACGUAGGGUGCGAGCGUUGUCCGGAAUUAUUGGGCGUAAAGGGCUCGUAGGCGGUUUGUCACGUCGGGCGUGAAAACUCAGGGCUCAACCCUGAGCGUGCGUUCGAUACGGGCAGACUAGAGGUAUGCAGGGGAGAACGGAAUUCCUGGUGUAGCGGUGGGAAUGACGCAGAUAUCAGGGAGGAACACCCGGUGGGCGAAGGCGGUUCUCUGGGCAUUACCUGACGCUGAGGAGCGAAAGCAUGGGGAGCGAACAGG
rnacentral:rRNA from 1 species